rnacentral:rRNA from 1 species
GAUCCUGGCUCAGGAUGAACGCUAGCGGCAGGCUUAACACAUGCAAGUCGGAGGGGCAGCAUAAUGGAUAGCAAUAUCUAUGGUGGCGACCGGCGCACGGGUGCGUAACGCGUAUGCAACCUACCUUAACAGUGGGAUAACACUGAGAAAUUGGUACUAAUACCCCAUAAUAUCAUAGAAGGCAUCUUUAUGGUUGAAAAUUCCGAUGGUUAGAGAGUGGGCAUGCGUUGUUA